CCCUCUGGGCGGAGAAAGCAAACAAACAGAACACUCAGCAUACAGCAGGUGCUGAGAAAAUGCUCACCUCCCCUUAUCUGGGGAAAUUUGCUGCGUCCUGAACUCCCGACCCUGCCGGAACAAUCGCUUGCUGUCUGCUGUGACCACUGCUUCUCUGCUCAUGCUUGUUCCUCCUGCUGUGACAAUGGCCUUCUAUUAAAAGUUUUUCAAGUAUUUGAGACAUAAGCUGGAUGGACCACUUGCGCAUUCAGGACACAGGAACGGAAAACAAAGGACGGCAGGUGCUAAUAUAGAGGACUGGGGAAAAAAGAAUCAUGUAGAGCCUCUCUGCUGAAUUCCAGACCCAAAUAUCCAACAACCUGACUUGUAUGUCCAAGACAUCCCAAACAGAGCAUGUCCACGCUGAGCUCCUGAUUCCCUCCUCCUCAAGCCUAUUCUUCCCUGCAUUUAACCCUUCUGGAACACUAGCAAGGGGGACACAGGGGUGAAAGCCCUUCUCCCUUUCAGUGCAUGUCAACGCCAUCCUGCAGGAUACCCAAGCCAAAAAUACUGGGACCAUUUAUUCCUUCUUUGCACACCCCACGUAAGCAACCUAUGAGCUAACAAUGUCUUUGUGCCUUCGAAAUGCAUACAGAGUCUUGGCCACAUCUCACCACCAGCAUGCUAAUCCCACCCCCACCACCUAGGCCGUCACAGCAGCCCCCUAAACCUCCCUCGCCCCACCCUGUGCUCUCUUCCCAACGUAACAGAGACCUGGUCACAUGGAAGGCAGAUUCUGUCACUGCUCCAUCUCCUGAAGCUUCUGUUCUGUCCAAGUAAGAGAUGAGGGCCUCACCAUGCUUGGGGGGCCCAACACCCCUCUGCUCCUGGCUCCUGCCACAGCACCCACCGACACCCUGUGCUCCUCAGCCGUGCCAGCCUGUCCCCUUGAAGCCAUCUCCCAGGUUUCCAGUGGCUCACUUCUUUUCCUGAUGUCACCUACUCAUGAGGUCCCUCUGAGCCAUCCUAUUUAGGAUCACACUGCCCUGUACACACUCCUCACUCCCCUUUCCUGCUUUACUACCCUCAAGACACCAGUCACACUGAAUCUUCUCUAAGUUGACUCGCUACUUCGCUGACUACCUGACCUCCCCACUCGAAUAGAAACUCCUGGGGGCCAGGGGUCUUUGGCUGACUCUCUCACUUCUGUGUGUUCAGGCUCAGGACAGAGCCUGGCCACACAGAAGAGGUUCGAAUCUUUUCUGAAUGAAGCAUGGCUGAGGAAAGCCAGCAGUGGGGAACUAGGACACAAGGCCAGACCAGGCCAGCGGCCACACGCACACUGAGGCCUGGGCUCCGAGAGUGGCAGGAUCAAAGACUUUUCAGGGGUAGAAUGUACAGGGUUUGGUAACAAGGUGAGGGCCACGGGAGGCGGCUGUAAACCUGAACUACAGCUGAUGAUCUUCAUGCAUAUGGAAAAGGCCAGAGGAAUGAGGGAUCGGGGAAGGGGGAGGAAUGGUAGACAGGAGGAGCUCAAUUUUUGUUAAUUAAAUGAAGUACAUUAAUCUAUGCAUUAAUAUGCCUCUCUCAGAUAUAGUCCAAAGCCUAAUAAACUCCUCUAGGAUAGUUUUUAAAGGUUUAACUUAUUCCUAAAUUCAAUAAGCACAAAGAUUUGUCACAAAGGCUCAGAUUCACUAGGUACAUAGGUUACACCCUGUUCUCCAGAACAGAAGAAAAAUUACAAACGCCAGGAAUAUGUGGGAAACGAAGAUCUGCAGAAGACCCGAGUGUCCCGAGUGCUUGAGACUAUGGAGAGCAUAAAAGAGAGAAGUGGCUGUGUUCUCCAGACUUAUAUUUAAUAGGUUCUAAAUCCAGCACAGAUUUGACCUUUGCUUUAAAUAGAUUUUCUUGGAGAGAAGGGAAGAAAACAUUGAUUCAUCCAAGACUCCUGAACGACCUACUGUUCACGUUGCUUGAAAUAAAGUCUGCUUUAAAUCAGAAUUCUUGAGACACAGAAAUAAAUAUACCGAGAGGUUUCUAAUUCUA